GUGUCAGCCGCCGCGGUAAUACGUAGGCCUCGAGCGUUAUCCGGAUUUAUUGGGCGUAAAGAGCAUGUAGGAGGCUUCCUAAGUCUUUGGUUAAAGACCACCGCCUAACGGUGGGAGUGCUGAGGAAACUGAGAAGCUGGAGGAGGUUAGAGGUGCAUAGAACGCAUGGUGUAGGGGUGAAAUCCGUUGAUAUCAUGCGGAAUACCAAAGGCGAAGGCAGUGCACUGGGACCUUCCUGACUCUGAGAUGCGAAAGCGUGGGGAGCAAAAAGGAUUAGAUACCCUAGUAGUCC
rnacentral:rRNA from 1 species